rnacentral:rRNA from 1 species
AGAGUUUGAUCAUGGCUCAGAACGAACGCUGGCGGCGUGCUUAACACAUGCAAGUCGAGUGCGCGUCUGUAGCAAUACAGAUGGCGCACGGCGCACGGGUGCGUAACACGUGGGCAAUCUGCCCUUCGAUGGGGAAUAUCUUCGGGAAACCGAAGCGAAUUCCGCAUAACAUUCCUUGGACUUCGGUUCGAGGACUCAAAGCCGUAAGGCGUCGAAGGAGGAGCCCGCGCACGAUUAGCUAGUUGGUAGGGUAACGGCCUACCAAGGCUUCGAUCGUUAGCUGGUCUGAGAGGAUGGCCAGCCACACUGGAACUGAGACACGGUCCAGACUCCUACGGGAGGCAGCAGUGGGGAAUCUUGCACAAUGGGCGAAAGCCUGAUGCAGCGACGCCGCGUGGGGGAUGAAGCAUCUCGGUGUGUAAACCCCUUUCGACCCGGAAGAAUGCCUCGCAAGAGGACUGACGGUACGGGUAUAAGAAGCCCCGGCUAACUACGUGCCAGCAGCCGCGGUAAGACGUAGGGGGCCAGCGUUGUUCGGAAUUACUGGGUGUAAAGGGUUCGUAGGCGGUGUGGCAAGUUGGGAGUGAAAUCUCUGGGCUCAACCCAGAGGCUGCUUCCAAAACUGCUGUGCUUGAGUGUGGGAGAGGCGCGUGGAAUUGCAGGUGUAGCGGUGAAAUGCGUAGAUAUCUGCAGGAACACCCGUGGCGAAAGCGGCGCGCUGGACCACUACUGACGCUGAGGAACGAAAGCUAGGGGAGCAAACAGGAUUAGAUACCCUAGUAGUCC